CCCUGGUUUUCACAGCUGAGACUUUCUUGCUUUCAGAUAAUUCCUGCACUUCUCUGUGUUAAUAAUGUUCAUUUUUUGAACGUGGCAAAGAGAAAAACAUUGCAUUGAACGUCAUUAAUUAUGGAAAAGGAAUUGUACUGUGAAUUUGAAAAUACAUCGUUUACAAGUUAUUAGGAGCUCCUAGGACAGAAUCUGUAGUAAUUCCUGGCAAGGCUGAUUUGGAAAGCAUUUUCACUUUAUGAGUAUAGUAUAAGAUUUCUUCAUACAAUUUUAGUAUAGCUACCUGUUACAAUAAUUUUGAAUCAGUGUUUUACAUUGCUAAGAAACAAAUGUGUAAAUUCCAUAAAGUGCUCAUCUAAAUUUCACCUUGAAAGUUAUGUUUCUUCUCCUUUGGCAGCUGAGCAUUGUUUCAUUGAAGAGGAAAGUUAAAAUCCUAAGAGUGGGAUUGCAUUAGCACUUUCUAAUGGUUGUGGAUCUCUGGGUAAAGGUGUUAGGAAUCAUUUAUCCUUUUAUCCUGAUGCAAUCACAGUAACGUCUUGGUGUCAGUUAGCAGGUACAUGGGACAACAGAAAGUGAACACCACCUAUGAGAUAUUUUGUUCAUUGCAGGAGUUCCAGGAAAAGUCCAAUGCGAAAAGUGAAGCAGAGAUUCAAUAAAAAGUAGGAGGCAGCUAUUAGAGAUGAAGAAAUACAUGCAAGAUUGCACUUCACUGAGAGCAAUGUGGAAAUGUGUGUAGCUGAUCGUGUUUCAUGUGAGGAUGCAGGAACGUGAAUAGUGGUAGGUCAGCAGGAAACAGCAAUUGUAAGAGAUGGCAACAAGAUAAAACAGCUAAUGGAGGUGAAAAGUGGCAGUCAGUCAGCACUGAGAGGCUCAUAACGGUCAGAUGAUGCUGAGCCCUGAUGUUUCUGAGAUCUAAAGGGGCUGUCAAGAGCUAUUUAAAGCC
rnacentral:lncRNA from 1 species